rnacentral:rRNA from 1 species
AGAUUGAACGCUGGCGGCAUGCCUUACACAUGCAAGUCGAACGGUAGAGUAGCAAUACUUGAGAGUGGCGAACGGGUGAGUAAUAUAUCGGAACGUGCCCAGUCGUGGGGGAUAACGUAGAGAAAUUUACGCUAAUACCGCAUACGAUCUAAGGAUGAAAGCGGGGGACCGUAAGGCCUCGCGCGAUUGGAGCGGCUGAUAUCAGAUUAGGUUGUUGGUGAGGUAAAAGCUCACCAAGCCGACGAUCUGUAGCUGGUUUGAGAGAACGACCAGCCACACUGGGACUGAGACACGGCCCAGACUCCUACGGAGGCAGCAGUGGGGAAUUUUGGACAAUGGGCGAAAAGCCUGAUCCAGCAAUGCCGCGUGCAGGAAGAAAGGCCUCGGUGUAACUAG